GGUUAAGUGACUAAGCGUACACGGUGGAUGCCUGGGCAGUCAGAGGCGAUGAAGGACGUACUAACUUGCGAUAAGCGCAGAUAAGGCAGUAAGAGCCGUUUGAGUCUGCGAUUUCCGAAUGGGGAAACCCAACUGCAUAAGCAGUUACUGUUAACUGAAUACAUAGGUUAACAGAGCAAACCGGGGGAACUGAAACAUCUAAGUACCCCGAGGAGAAGAAAUCAACCGAGAUUCCGGUAGUAGCGGCGAGCGAACCUGGAUUAGCCCUUAAGCACUCGGUGAAGUAGGUGAACAAGCUGGAAAGCUUGGCGAUACAGGGUGAUAGCCCCGUAACCGACGCUUCAUCGAGCGUGAAAUCGAGUAGGGCGGGACACGUGAUAUCCUGUCUGAAUAUGGGGGGACCAUCCUCCAAGGCUAAAUACUCCUGACUGACCGAUAGUGAACCAGUACCGUGAGGGAAAGGCGAAAAGAACCCCUGUGAGGGGAGUGAAAUAGAACCUGAAACCGUGUACGUACAAGCAGUAGGAGCACCUUCGUGGUGUGACUGCGUACCUUUUGUAUAAUGGGUCAGCGACUUAUAUUCAGUGGCAAGGUUAACCGUAUAGGGGAGCCGUAGCGAAAGCGAGUCUUAACUGGGCGCUCAGUCUCUGGAUAUAGACCCGAAACCGGGUGAUCUAGCCAUGGGCAGGUUGAAGGUUGAGUAACAUCAACUGGAGGACCGAACCGACUAAUGUUGAAAAAUUAGCGGAUGACUUGUGGCUAGGGGUGAAAGGCCAAUCAAACUCGGAGAUAGCUGGUUCUCCCCGAAAGCUAUUUAGGUAGCGCCUCGGACGAAUACUACUGGGGGUAGAGCACUGUUAAGGCUAGGGGGUCAUCCCGACUUACCAACCCUUUGCAAACUCCGAAUACCAGUAAGUACUAUCCGGGAGACACACGGCGGGUGCUAACGUCCGUCGUGGAGAGGGAAACAACCCAGACCGCCAGCUAAGGUCCCAAAGUAUUGCUAAGUGGGAAACGAUGUGGGAAGGCUCAGACAGCUAGGAUGUUGGCUUAGAAGCAGCCAUCAUUUAAAGAAAGCGUAAUAGCUCACUAGUCGAGUCGGCCUGCGCGGAAGAUGUAACGGGGCUAAGCAAUACACCGAAGCUGCGGCAAUAUCUUUUAGAUAUUGGGUAGGGGAGCGUUCUGUAAGCCGUUGAAGGUGGAUCGUAAGGUUUGCUGGAGGUAUCAGAAGUGCGAAUGCUGACAUGAGUAACGACAAAGGGGGUGAAAAACCUCCUCGCCGGAAGACCAAGGGUUCCUGUCCAACGUUAAUCGGGGCAGGGUGAGUCGACCCCUAAGGUGAGGCCGAAAGGCGUAAUCGAUGGGAAACGGGUUAAUAUUCCCGUACUUCUGACUAUUGCGAUGGGGGGACGGAGAAGGCUAGGUGGGCCAGGCGACGGUUGUCCUGGUUCAAGUGCGUAGGCUUGAGAGUUAGGUAAAUCCGGCUCUCUCUAAGGCUGAGACACGACGUCGAGCUGCUACGGCAGUGAAGUCAUUGAUGCCAUGCUUCCAGGAAA
rnacentral:rRNA from 1 species